GUGUGUGUGUGUGUGUGUGUGUGUGUGUGUGUGUGUGUGUGUGUGUGUGUGUGUGUGUGUGUGUGUGUGUGUGUGUGUGUGCAGAGGCAGAAGGAUAUGGGCUAGAGGGGCCAGCUGAGUUUUCAAAACUUUCACAGGAGACCGAAAUAGCCCCGAGAGUGUUCACCACUUUAACCGCUCGUGUGUCCUGUCCUUCUGCACGUCCUUUGACUCCCAGAGUGAUCAGUGGGAAGAGGGAAGAGAACACGAAAGAGAGGGGGAAAAAUCUGCAAAAGACUGAUGACCCCGGACAUAGUGAAUAAUCGGAAGCCGCGGAGUGAGGAGGGAAGGAGGGACGGAGCGAGGGAGACCUGAGUCCUAGGAUCAUGCCUCAGGACUACCUUGCAUGAUGACUCCUUGCUGUCCGC